UGGGGAAUUUUGGACAAUGGGCGAAAGCCUGAUCCAGCAAUGCCGCGUGUGUGAAGAAGGCCUUCGGGUUGUAAAGCACUUUUGUCCGGAAAGAAAUCCUUGGCUCUAAUACAGUCGGGGGAUGACGGUACCGGAAGAAUAAGCACCGGCUAACUACGUGCCAGCAGCCGCGGUAAUACGUAGGGUGCAAGCGUUAAUCGGAAUUACUGGGCGUAAAGCGUGCGCAGGCGGUUUGCUAAGACCGAUGUGAAAUCCCCGGGCUCAACCUGGGAACUGCAUUGGUGACUGGCAGGCUAGAGUAUGGCAGAGGGGGGUAGAAUUCCACGUGUAGCAGUGAAAUGCGUAGAGAUGUGGAGGAAUACCGAUGGCGAAGGCAGCCCCCUGGGCCAAUACUGACGCUCAUGCACGAAAGCAUGGGGAGCAAACAGGAUUAGAUACCCUGGUAGUCCACGCCCUAAACGAUGUCAACUAGUUGUUGGGGAUUCAUUUCCUUAGUAACGUAGCUAACGCGUGAAGUUGACCGCCUGGGGAGUACGGUCGCAAGAUUAAAACUUAAAGGAAUUGACGGGGUCAUAGCUGUUUCCU
rnacentral:rRNA from 1 species